UUUGGUAUAUUACGUUAGGCAUACACGUGCAGUCACUACACAUGUCCAAUCUGCAGCAAGUCAUUGGGAGAUAUGGCGGUUUACUUUGGUAUGCUUGAUGCCCUAUUGGCUGCUGAGGAGCUUCCUGAAGAGUACAGGGAACGCUGUCAGGACAUACUCUGCCAUGACUGCGAUCGGAAGGGCUCUUCACGCUUCCACUGGUUGUACCACAAAUGUGAAUUUUGUGGCUCUUAAAAUACCCGGGUUAUCAAGUGUGAGACGUCAAACUCCAGCUGCUCUUAGUAUGCUUCUUUUGAUGGGAGGUAGAUAGUUUGUAAAUACUUUAUAGCAAAAUAGGAAUUCAAAUUUUGCCACAACUAGGAGCCCUCUUAUUUUUUUCGUCGUAUAUAUAAUGCGGACGCAUGACGAAAUUUAGUGACCUCUUUAUUAGUAUAACAGAAGCCCCUAAUCAGUUCUAUAGCAUUGUGUACAGAUCAAAUUUCUUCCUACUUUUUAGUUUCUGCAAGGAUAUUGUUGCUGUCCAUAUUCAUUUCUUUAUCUUCGUUUAAGUGCACCCUGACUUCACCGCGAUCACGCUGAGUAAUUUUCUCCAAAUUCCCAGCUACGUCGCUAGAGGUGCUUCUGAC